rnacentral:lncRNA from 1 species
UGAGCAACCUGGAAAGCUGAUCUGAAACACAGGCAUAGAAAUGGAAGAGGAAGCCUUAAAUAGAAAGGAAUGAUGGGGGUGGAGUACACUACACAAAUAAAUAAAACAAAAGUCAUCUGCUAUUGAUCCAUGGAGUUUCAGGACUGUCGUGGUGCUCAUGUUGUAUGCAGCCGGAGCCUAAAAGAUGGUGCCGGGCUCCAAUACACCGUCGCCGUAAAUAAUACCACUGCGCAGGCGCUAGCCUGAAUCUGGCGCCAACCCCUCCCAAGCGGGUGCAUGCAAAUUAAGGUGCCGGCAGACUGACCAAUCCCAGGAGGACACAAAGUUUUCCCUGUGCUGGGGUGUAUAUAAGGAGUCCUUUCUGGGUUCCCAGGGUUCCCGUAGCAUCGGGGCAAUAAAG